UGAGUCCCUUACCUUCCUCACUCUUCUUCCACUGUGUUUGGGGGGUUCGUCUUAAUUUCUUUGUCAGAGGAUUUCAGAUCUUCCUACCAACCGAAGCUCUUGGGUCUUCAUGCUAUCAACAAUCAAUUUCCACAGCUCCUUUCUCUCCCUAUUUACAUCACUUUCUCCCUAACAGUGAUCAGUCGUUUCUGUUCAUUCUCUCAUCUCGUUCCUUCAAUUGAACAUCUUUGACCUCCCAAAGCUGCCUCUCAUCAUUCUAAAAGAAAGUGAUGAAAGGCAGCUUUGGGAUGUUAGGGAUUCUUAGUUGAAGGAAGGAGAGGAGAGGAUGAAUAGAGAUGAUCUAUUCAUAUCAAGGAUGGAAGAACAUCGAAGAAGCCUGGUGGCAGCUUGAGUCCAACACUCAUGGAAGAUUGAUGGUCCAUUGCAAGUGAAACACGCACAAAUAUCUAAUAUAUUUUUAAACGGAAUUCAGCAUUUUUUUCACAAAUAUUGAAGGGUCAGAUGUUGGAGUUGCAGAGCAGAUUCUAUGUAUGGAAUUUUAGAUUUUUUUUUUUUUCCCUGCAGGCUUGAAAGAAUACCAUGUAAUCCAUUGUUGGACACAUGUUACAAUUAAAUUCAAUUGUUGGUGCUGCUUUCCCAAGUACGUUGAUAAUCGAAUUGGGUUGGUAGAAAGUUAAAAAAAAAAAGAAAAAGGAUGGCAGACAAUGAAAAAUAGAAAAAGAAUUGUAGAUUAUCGGAGGACUCUCAAGUGUCCUUACUUAUUGGUACCCAGUGAUAUCUUUGUAGAUAUCAAAGAUACAGCUAAUGUAGUCGUACAUGAGCACUUUGACCAUCAUUAAAAAGAUUGGGCAACAGAUGACAAGAAAUCUCUAUUUCUGUCAUUUGUUGUCUAGUCUAUGUAAAAAUGGUCGAAGUGUUCGUGUAUAACUACAUGACCAAUAAGUAAAGACUCUUGAGAGUCCUCCAAUCGAUUAUGGAAUUUACAAUUCUUUUUAUAUUUUUCAGUUUUCUUUCUACCAAUCCAAUUCCAUUAUUAACGUACUUUGUGAAGCACCAGCAGCGCCUUUUUUUUU